GCAGGGAAGAGGAAGAAAGAGAGAGCAUAAGAGCACUAGGAAUGGGAACAUGGAGGAAAGUUUAAGUCUUAUAUUUUCACCUCUAGUGUUGGAGGUGCAAAUAUUUAGUUGUGUGCUUUCCUGAUGUCUCCCAUUCCUAUGGUUCUUGAGCACUCCUUCCUCUUCCUUUUCGCU
rfam:Triticum aestivum genome assembly, contig: Triticum_aestivum_CS42_TGACv1_scaffold_093800_2AL